UCAAUCAAAACACGUGAUUCCGUGUACCGCGUCUGUUUGUUUUGACAACAACAACAGAAGCCCUCUCGGAAAACUGUUCCCAUCUCUGUGUCAAACCGUCAGAGCACAUGGCAGUGUCUGUGUGCUGGCUCGCUGCCAUGUGGCACACAGAAAUGUCUGUGACUGCUGGCAUUGUCGCCCUUUCAGGAGUCUCGUCAACACAGGCAUUGUGCAGUGACAGUCACGCAACUUUAUCACUUGCAGAUGUUUCGCUUAAAAAUGCAUCGCGUCAAGAAGAAUGCAGCAAGAAAAGAGGAGCUUUUAGUGCAUUAUCUGUGAUACCAAUUACCUUUUCAAUGUUGUUUUCACCAGGGUGACUGCAGAUGAAUGGUACAAUGUGUGCUCUUUUUCUCAGCCCUGUCAAAACAAGGAGCUGCAAUCUCACCACAAGAGGGGGCUUCAUCCACACCUUUUAUCUCACUGGGAUUAGGCCUUGCCUGGCAGCAUGGAGAGUCACUGCCGUUCUGCCCACUUUCUUGCAAUCGAUUUCCACACCUGCAGUGCCCUUAUUUUUUUUUAGUGUGGUGUCUAAUCCCCCCAUUUCUGCGCCACUUAAUCCAAAACAAAGCCUCAGCAGCCCAUGGGAGCUGCUAUGUUGGGACCCAAGUUCAUCACAUUGGAGCUGCUGUCCAUCUCUCACAGCAUCCCCAGACGGGAAAGGGAACCGCCCAGACUGCUGGUGCCAGGGUGAUAUCAUCUGAUAAUCAACCUCAAACAUGGGCUCCGAGCCACACAGUGCAUUUUCAUAUAGUGAAAGGUCUUCAUCCUUCACUCUCGCUUUUAUAUCGAGGGUUUUUUUCUGCAAAUAUUGAUCCCGGAGAUUGAGUGAAAUUGGUGUGUCAUAUAAAAAGGGAACUUGUUAGCGCUAUAUAUAUCUGAAUGGGUGCCAAGUAAAGGCUUAUUAACUAGAAUCCCUGUUUCUUUAACCGUAAACCAGAAUGUUAUUAAUUUAAUUUAAUUAUUUAUUUAUUUUUAAUUGAGGCAGCCCAUUAGUUGUAGCAUGUAUUAUGAAUAUCAGCUGUCAUUCUACAUGUGCUUGAGCGCUCUCAA